rnacentral:misc_RNA from 1 species
GAUGAAGAACGCAGCGAAAUGCGAUACGUAAUGUGAAUUGCAGAAUUCAGUGAAUCAUCGAAUCUUUGAACGCAUAUUGCGCUCUUUGGUAUUCCGAAGAGCAUGCUUGUUUGAGUAUCAGUAAACACCUCAACCUCUUCUUGAUUUUUCAAAAGGAGGGUGGACUUGAGCUAUCCCAACAACCUUUACCGGUCGGCGGGCGGCUUGAAAUGCAGGUGCAGCUGGACUUUUAUCUGAGCUAAGAGCAUAUCUAUUUAGUCCUCGUCAAACAGGAUUAUUACUUUUGCUGCAGCUAACAUAAAGGAUAAUUGUCCUCUUUGCUGACUGAUGCAGGAUUUUACGACACUUUAUGUGUUGUUCAACUCGAUCUCAAAUCAAGUAAGACUACCCGCUGAACUUAAGCAUAUCAAUAAGCGGAGGA